rnacentral:snRNA from 1 species
GGAUGUGAGGGCUGUCUGGCUGUGACAUCUGUCACCCCAGAUUGCCAGUGUUGAUCCAGCUGAUCUGGCUGGCUAGGCUAGUGUCUCCUUCCUCCCUCACUGUUCCAUGUUUGUCCCUCCCAUAGCCAUGCUCUUUGUUGAAGAGGUUGACCACCCUUGAUAGAGGAGGACUGUUUCCUUGGUCAUGGGUAUACAAGUAGCUUCACUCCCCUGCUAGAACCUCCAAACAAGCUCUCUAGAUGGCAACUCAAUGAGGCAGUUACCAAUGAUGAGACAGAGUUCUGUGGUCUUAAUGG